UCACAGGGCCGAACUACGUGGAGUCAAUGACACCAGGGCUCUUAUACUGAAGAUAGCCCUAUCCUCAUCCUAAGCUAGGCACUGAAACAACACUUCCUCUCUUUCCAUACUAUCUAGAAUGAGAAGCUAUAUAGAGAGAGGCCAUUGCUAUGCUGUUUAUAUGUCGAAAAUUGUGCGGUAAUAGAGUGAAAUUACAAGGCAACAGUGAUUCAGUACUUCAGUUUUAGCCUGCCUUGCACAGCCCUCAUGGCUUCUACAGAUAUAUUGUCUUUGCCGGUGGCCAGCGACGGUUUCAAGAGCAUGUAGCAGUUGUGCAGGUACCUGCAGAUGCCAGCAGCAGCAAAAGGCAGCAGGUGAAGAUGGAGCUCACCAGCGGUGCUGCCGUGAAGAUUGCUACCAAGCACCAACAGCUGAAACCGCGGUUCGCCCUGGAGUUGGAUGGGCUCAACUGCUUCGAGACUCUAGUCCCUCGUUCAUGGAUCGAGGAAUCUAUUCGCUGGAAAUUUUGAUCGAGUUCUUGUGUUUUUUGUUGCAAAUCUGCCCUGUUAUUAAUUAGUUUUGUCCAUUGCAUCCAUCCAUACGAGUGUUUUCUGUUUGUUCACGCCCAAUGAUUGAAGAACUGCAGCGAAACUAUUGGCUGCUAAUAAGUCGUGUGUUCCAUCUUGAUGCU